ensembl:rRNA 5S_rRNA 5S ribosomal RNA
GAUUCCAGCCACACCACCCUGAACACACCCAACCUCAACUGAUCUCAGAAGCUAAGUAGGGUUGGGCUUGGCUAGUAUUUGGAUGGGAGAGACUCAGCAAGCAGUAUACU